rnacentral:rRNA from 1 species
AGAAUCAACGCUGGCGGCGUGCCUAACACAUGCAAGUCGCACGAGAAAGGGGAGCAAUCCCUGAGUAAAGUGGCGCACGGGUGAGUAACACGUGAAUAAUCUACCUCCGAGUGGGGAAUAACUGAGAGAAAUCUUAGCUAGUACCGCAUAACACUUACGAGUCAAAGCAGCAAUGCGCUUGGAGAGGAGUUCGCGGCCGAUUAGUUAGUUGGCGGGGUAAUGGCCCACCAAGACGAUGAUCGGUA